rnacentral:tRNA from 1 species
AGUAUAGUAUAAUGGUUAGUAUGUCGGUCUCCAAAACCGAAGAUGUUGGUUCGAUUCCAGCUACUU